AGGAUCUUUUGUGACUAUGUCCAAAAACUAAUUUUAGAUACAUGUAAUUUAAGCUAAAACCAAGCAAGCCCUUAAAACCCCUAAAACCCCAGCCUAAUUUUACUCUGUUUUGCAAUUUGUUACCCCAAAACCCUCCUUCCCUCACUCAAUCCACAUUCAUCUUCAUGCUAAUUCAACUCAUACAACAAGCUAAAACCCCUUUCAAAUGAAAGCUUUCAGAGCUUUGAGAACACUUUCAACCUUCACAACAAAACGCCAGCGACAAUGUUCUAUCUUUCUCCACCGCCUCUACACCGCCCAGCCUCAGCAAACGCUCAAUGAAACCGAAAGUGAUUCAGUUUUUGACAGUUCCCAUUAUUCAAUACCGAGCCUUGGUGAAACCCACGACUCCGAGAAGAAAGAACCCACCUGGGAUGAAAAGUUCAGGGUGAGAGCUGAUAAGGUAGUGUUUGGGAAAGAUAGCCAAAGAGCGAAAGUUAGAAUUUUUCAGGAAGAUGAAGAUGAGCGGAAGAAUAGAGCUCUUGCCAGGGCUCUACUUGAGGCUGCUUUGGAGAAAGAGGAGGAAGAUGAAGAGGUUAAAGAGGAGGAUCAGAUGUCGCUUACUGUUGGGAUUAUUGGUGCUCCUAACGCUGGAAAAUCUGCUCUUGCUAAUUUCAUGGUGGGGACAAAGGUUGCUGCUGUUUCAAGGAAGACAAAUACAACCACUCAUGAAGUGCUUGGAGUAAUGAUGAAGGGAAAUGCCCAAAUUUGCUUUUUUGAUACCCCGGGACUUAUGUUAAAGAAAAGUGGGCUUCCUUACAAAGAUAUGAAGGUUCGCAUAGAAAGUGCUUGGAGCUCAGUUAAUUUAUUUGAGGUGCUCAUGGUUGUUUUUGAUGUACAUAGACAUCUCACCAAGCCUGAUUCAAGGGUUGUCAGAUUAAUUGACCGUAUGGGUGCUGAAGCUCAUCCAAAUCAGAAGCGGAUUUUAUGCAUGAAUAAGGUUGAUUUAGUUGCUAAGAAAAAAGACCUACUAAAAGUUGCUGAGCAAUUUAAAGAUCUUCCUGGGUAUGAAAGGAUUUUCAUGACCUCUGGAUUGAAGGGUGCUGGAGUAAAAGAUCUUUCCCAAUAUUUGAUUGAUCAGGCAGUUCAAAGACCUUGGUCUGAAGAUCCACUAACUAUGAGUGAAGAAGUCAUGAAGAACAUUUCAUUGGAAGUUGUACGGGAAAGGUUAUUAGACCAUGUACAUCAGGUUUGUAUGAUUUCAGGAAAUCCCCUAUGGUAUUGAACAUCGGUUGAUAGAUUGGAAGGACUUGCGCGAUGGUUCUCUUCGGAUUGAACAACACUUCAUUACCAACAAGCUAAGCCAACGAAAGAUUCUUGUUGGAAAGAAUGGCUCUAAAAUAGGGAGAAUUGGCAUUGAAGCUAACGAAGAGCUACGGUCCAUCUUCAAGAGACAAGUACAUCUCAUCCUCCGAGUUAAACUAAAAUGACAUGCUUGACAAAUAUAAUCAGCCAUCAAGAGAUGCUCUAUCUCCACCUGUACUAUCUGGAUGUGUAUAUAUGCAGAGCCCCAUCAGGUAUACCUUACCUGUAAUCUUUUCAUUUCAUCCCCUUAUGAACAAAGCAUCUAGAAUAGGAGGCUUUGGCGGCAAUGAUUAUCGGGGUAAUAAAUCAUUGAAAAGCUCCAUGUCUUCAGUGAAAAUCCCUGUCGUCUCAUUCUGGAUAAUGUUUAAUUGUGCGAAAUUUUGUUAAGAUGGAUUCCUUGCCUUUUUCUUAAUCUGUAUCCACUAUGAUAUUUACAUCAUUUGUAUUCUUGUUCCAUUGUAUUGGAUGGUCUUAUUCAUAAGAAAAAUUGUAUUAAUUUGUUACUAAAAUAAUUUUUUGAGGUUUAGA